CCUACACACGCUCUUCUUAUCUCCUUCCCUUUUCUAAAUACUUCAAACCAAAUUCCGACCUCAAAUAUUUACAUAGCAUGUGCACAGAUUUCUGCAUCUGAGGACAGUAUCAGUUGCUCUUUUUAAAAGAAUAUUAUUCAGCACCUUUCACGCUGUGCGUGCUCAAUAGCCAAUUAUUAUUACUUUGAUAGUAUGGCAGUAAAAAAAAUGUUGAAUGGAGCAUUAAGUUCAACCUUUUAUAAGAUAUUCUGUAAUUUAAUUUAAGGACAAUACUAUCUUCUCUGAUCCAACUUUAAGAUAAUUAUUUUGACAAAUUCUUUUGAGAUUUUUAGAUCACAGAAAUAUGAUUAAAUAAAACCAGUCAGUUGUUGGAGUUAUCACAAUAGCUCCAGAGUGUUCCUCCAGCAAUCUAAAACAAUAUUGUAACAGCAUC